rnacentral:rRNA from 1 species
AGGAUUAACGCUGGCGGCGUGCCUAACACAUGCAAGUCGAGCGCCCGUAGCAAUACGGGAGCGGCAGACGGGAUAGUAACACGUGGGAACGCGCCCUUCGGUUCGGAAUAACUCAGGGAAACUUGAGCUAAUACCGGAUACGCCCUUACGGGGAAAGAUUUAUUGCCGAAGGAACGGCCCGCGUCCGAUUAGCUAGUUGGGGAGGUAAUGGCUCACCAAGGCGACGAUCGGUAGCUGGUCUGAGAGGAUGACCAGCAUCACUGGGACUGAGACACGGCCCAGACUCCUACGGGAGGCAGCAGUGGGGAAUAUUGGACAAUGGGCGCAAGCCUGAUCCAGCCAUGCCGCGUGGAUGAUGAAGGCCUUAGGGUUGUAAAGUCCUUUUAACGGGGAGAUAAGUGACGGUACCCGUAGAAUAAGCCCCGGCUAACUUCGUGCCAGCAGCCGC